rnacentral:rRNA from 1 species
AACGAACGCUGGCGGCAUGCCUAACACAUGCAAGUCGAACGAAGGCUUCGGCCUUAGUGGCGCACGGGUGCGUAACGCGUGGGAAUCUGCCCUUAGGUUCGGAAUAACAGCUGGAAACGGCUGCUAAUACCGGAUGAUAUCGCGAGAUCAAAGAUUUAUCGCCUGAGGAUGAGCCCGCGUUGGAUUAGGUAGUUGGUGGGGUAAAGGCCUACCAAGCCGACGAUCCAUAGCUGGUCUGAGAGGAUGAUCAGCCACACUGGGACUGAGACACGGCCCAGAC